AAGUAUGGCAGCGUGGAAGUUGUUCUUGCUUUGCUUUGCUUAUCGAGAUGUGGCUAGUCCUCGCCUUGCACACGCAGGGAUCCCAUACGGGCGCUGAUUUGUAUCUCAGCUGUUCCACUUGCCUUCCAGCUCCCUGCUAAUGGCAAGAAGCCUUGGGACUCUGCAGGCACAUGGGAGACCCAGAAGAAGCUCCUGGCUUCAGGCACAGUCGGAUUGUUUCCAGUCCAGAUUGCUCUGAAUAUUUGCAUGGGAGUCUCUAGAGUAAACACCCAGAAAAGGAACUGCUAGACUGUACGGUGAAUGUUUGUAGAACCUUCAAAGAUAUCACUGUUUUCCCAAGUAGUUAGAAUUGUAUCUUAACAAUAGGGAAUCUUCACAACCCAUGAAUGUGGUAUUUUUCUCUAUUCAGUUACUUAAACCUCCAUUUCAUUUCUCUUAGCAGUGUUUUUCAGCUUCUGAAGUGUAGGACUUGUAAACAUUUUGGUCAAUUAUCCCUAAGUAUUCCAAUUUUUACUACUAUUGAAAAUGC